rnacentral:tRNA from 1 species
AAUUCCCCGGCUUUGAUAAAAUUUUUAAUCUACUUUUGUCCCUUGUAAUUGACAUAGACCCCAGUUCUCUAAUAAAAUGAGGAUACUACAUUGGGAAUAGCCGGGAUAGCU